ACAAACUUGGUCAUUUAGAGGAAGUAAAAGUCGUAACAAGGUUUCCGUAGGUGAAUCUGCGGAAGGAUCAUUACUGAAGACUCGGUCGCAAGACCACUCUUCCACCCUUUGUAUACCUUACCUUUGUUGCUUUGGCGGGCCGCCUUUUGGCCGCUGGCUUCCGCUAGCGAGUGCCCGCCAGAGACCCCUAAACUCUGAAUUAUAGUGUUGUCUGAGUAAACAUUUAAUUGUUAAAACUUUCAACAACGGAUCUCUUGGCUCUGGCAUCGAUGAAGAACGCAGC
rnacentral:misc_RNA from 1 species